rnacentral:rRNA from 1 species
UACGUAGGGGGCUAGCGUUGUCCGGAAUCAUUGGGCGUAAAGAGCGUGUAGGCGGCCCGGUAAGUCCGCUGUGAAAGUCCAGGGCUCAACCCUGGGAUGCCGGUGGAUACUGUCGGGCUCGAGUCCGGAAGAGGCGAGUGGAAUUCCUGGUGUAGCGGUGAAAUGCGCAGAUAUCAGGAGGAACACCAAUGGCGAAGGCAGCUCGCUGGGACGUGACUGACGCUGAGACGCGAAAGCGUGGGGAGCAAACGGG